GACGAAUGCUGGCUGCGUGCUUAACACAUGCAAGUCGAACGGUGAAGGAGAGCUUGCUCUCCGGAUCAGUGGCGAACGGGUGAGUAACACGUGGGCAACCUGCCCCUCACUCUGGGAUAACGCCGGGAAACCGGCGCUAAUACCGGAUACGACCAGGCGCGACAUCUCGCCUGGUGGAAAGAAUUUCGGUGAGGGAUGGGCCCGCGGCCUAUCAGCUUGUUGGUGGGGUAACGGCCCACCAAGGCGACGACGGGUAGCCGGCCUGAGAGGGCGACCGGCCAAACUGGGACUGGGACACGGCCCAGACUCCUACGGGAGGCAGCAGUGGGGAAUAGUGCGCAAUGGGCGAAAGCCUGACGCAGCGACGCAGCGUGAGGGACGACGGCCUUCGGGUUGUAAACCUCUUUCAGCGGGGACGAAGCGAAAGUGACGGUACCCGCAGAAGAAGCACCGGCUAACUACGUGCCAGCAGCCGCAGUAAGAC
rnacentral:rRNA from 1 species